rnacentral:rRNA from 1 species
AACGAACGCUGGCGGCAGGCUUAACACAUGCAAGUCGAACGCCCCGCAAGGGGAGUGGCAGACGGGUGAGUAACGCGUGGGAAUCUACCCAGUUCUACGGAACAACUGAGGGAAACUUCAGCUAAUACCGUAUACGCCCUACGGGGGAAAGAUUUAUCGGAAUUGGAUGAGCCCGCGUUGGAUUAGCUAGUUGGUGAGGUAACGGCUCACCAAGGCGACGAUCCAUAGCUGGUCUGAGAGGAUGAUCAGCCACACUGGGACUGAGACACGGCCCAGACUCCUACGGGAGGCAGCAGUGGGGAAUAUUGGACAAUGGGCGCAAGCCUGAUCCAGCCAUGCCGCGUGAGUGAUGAAGGCCUUCGGGUCGUAAAGCUCUUUUACCCGGGAUGAUAAUGACAGUACCGGGAGAAUAAGCUCCGGCUAACUCCGUGCCAGCCGCCGCAGUAAAAC